ensembl:snRNA U6 U6 spliceosomal RNA
GUGCUUGCUUUGGCACCACAUCUACUAAAAUUGGAAUGUUACAGAGGAGAUUAGCAUGGCCCUUGCUCAAGGAUGACACGCAAAUUCGUGAAGCAUUCCAUAAUUUU